GGGGACGAUUUUGGUUUCGACGGGGAUUUAAACAAAAUAUACAAAGCAUGUGGUGGUCGCCCAUACACCUUAAACAUGAGCAAGCGAAAUAAACGCAGAAGAAAAUGACAAUGUUGUUUCUUACAAUGCUAUGCCUUGCGCUGCUUAAGUGAGAAAUGACGACUUGAUUGAAUUAUUCAAUCUGCUCUCCUUUGAUUUUGCCAAUUGAAGUGUAGGGUAUCAUCUUAGGCAAAAAUUUUACACCCAGUUGCCCUUGCAAGUGUGAAAAAUUUUAAGGGAUAGUUUUUAAAACCUGUUUAUGGGUUAAUUAAAAAUGAAUUUUAAUCAUAAACUAAACAUGUAGAAAAAUAUUUUGUUUUGUUUUCGGACGAGGGUUCAAUUCCCUCCGUCUCCACCA
rnacentral:tmRNA from 1 species